UACGAAGGGGGCUAGCGUUGCUCGGAAUCACUGGGCGUAAAGGGUGCGUAAGCGGGUCUUUAAGUCAGGGGUGAAAUCCUGGAGCUCAACUCCAGAACUGCCUUUGAUACUGAAGAUCUUGAGUUCGGGGAGAGGUGAGUGGAACUGCGAGUGUAGAGGUGAAAUUCGUAGAUAUUCGCAAGAACACCAGUGGCGAAGGCGGCUCACUGGCCCGAUACUGACGCUGAGGCACGAAAGCGUGGGGGAGCAAACAGG
rnacentral:rRNA from 1 species